UCUUACAUAAGAUCUUACAUUAUAGUAUCUCAAAACCAUGAAGAUAACAAAGUGUUUAUUUUUACUUUGGGGAGGUUUUUGUUUUUACAUUAUUCUAGAAUGAUUUACUCUUCCUUUUACUUAGUUUGUUUUCUUUUGCAGCCCCAUUGACAAACCUUCAGAUUCUCUCAGUAUAGGGAAUGGUGAUAAUUCCCAACAGGUAAGAUUUUGAUAAAUCUUCUCAUGAAAGUUUGAUGAGUCUUUUCAUGUAUCUGCUAUACCCUAAAAGCAAAGUGCUCUAUGCAAGCAAAUUUUCCAAAUUGAAAAAUUCUUUAAAUACUGAUUCAGUUUAAAAACACCUUGAUGGAGUACUUUGUUAAAUUAUAGUUAGCUUCUUUUCUGUAUACAAUGUAUAGUGUAUAAGUUAAGAUAGUCCCUUAUUUUUUCUUUUUCUUUUUUUAGAAUUACUUAUUUUACGUACUUGAGUACAUUGUAGCUGUCUUCAGACACACCAGAAAAAGGCAUCAGGUCCCAUUACAGAUGGCUAUAAGCCAGCAUGUGGUUGCUGGGAAUUGAACUCAGGACCUCUGGACGAGCUGUCAGUGCUCUUAACUGCUGAGCCACCUCUCCAGCCUCCAAAUCAGAAUUCCAUUGAUAACCACAGAGUGGUGCACAGCAUCAUAAUGUUAAGUUCCAAGUUGUUCUGGUCCCAUAAAAGCGGUUCCAGCUACCUUGCCUUCUAAGUUCUUGCUUUAGAGUUAUUUUGUGGAUAUAUUCACAACCAACAACUCUCAAGUGGAGUUCAGGUGACAGCUUGUGGGAUUUAGAUCUCCUCCCACCUGAGUCUGGGGAAUCAAAUUCAGGAUGGAAGGCAAAUAUUUUUACCUGCUGAAGCAUCUUUCUGGCCCCAUCCACCUUAAUUUUUUAGUUUAUUUUUGACAGUGGGGUCAUUGGACCUGGAGCUUACGAUGGCUAGCCUAGCUAGCCAGCCAGCUAAGCCCUUGGUGUUCACCAUGUCUUGUCCUCCCCAGCACUGGGUAAUGGACCUGUGCCUCCAUACAUGUGAGCACUGAAGACUCAGGUUCUCAUGUGCAGUAGGCCCUUUAUCUACAGAGUCAUCUUUUUAUAUUGGUAACAAAUAUGUAUUUCUAAUCUCUUGUAUAAAGAAUGGCCAAUUUCCUACAGUGUAGGUGAAACUGAUAGAACUAAAAUAUAAUAUUUUUCUAAACUGUUUACUCAUAAAUUCUAUAAAAUAACUUAAAAAUCUGUGCCUAUCUAUCUUUUGAGUUGACAUUAAUUUUUUUUUAAAUGAGCUAAAAAUAGUUGGAGCUAGAGAGAUUACUCAGCAGUUAAAAACACUUGUUGCUUUUGCAGAGGACCCAGGUUCGAUACCUAGUACUAUGUGGAGGCUCAGGAUCAUUCUACCAUUAGUUCCAGAGGAUCCAAUACUCUCUUGACCUCUGUGAACACCAGACACACAUGUGGUGCAUAUACCUACACACAUGCAAACCAUUCAUACACAUAAAAUAAUAUAAAUCUUAAAAGAAUUUUUUUGGUUAAAUAAAACAAGUUAAAAGUAGUUACAAAGAUGCAAUCAGUCUAUCUUUCUCUCUUUCUUUCUUUCUUUCUUUCUUUCUUUCUUUCUUUCUUUCUUUCUUUGAUGGUCUUAUUUACCAGCUGGCUUUGUAUUUGCUAUGUAUUGACGCUGGCCUUGAGAUCCUGAAUCUCUUGCUUCCGCCUCCCAAGGGCUGGGCUUACAUACAUGUAUAACCAUGCCCAACAGGUUUUUUUCAGCCAAAGUAUUAUUUUUUCAGAUAUAUCUAAGGACACACAAUAUUUGGUACCCAUCAUCAUAUUUUGGUCACAUCAUAUUUUGAUACCAGAUUUAGAAAUUUCUAUUUUAGAAAAUGCUUAAGCUCUUCAGCAGUUAGAAACUUUACUCUCUUUUUUGAAAUAUAAUAUACCUAUUUCUGUUGCUAUCACCAAGUUGUAUCUUAAUGCAUUAUACUUCUCACAGAUAAAAGUAAGGCUCAUAAGGCCUCAGUUUUUACCCCAGGUGCUCACAUAAAAACUGAGUACAGGAGUACAGCUGCAUAUGUCUAUAAACCUACCAUUAGUAGGCUAGGGGCAGGAAGAUUCAGCAAAGCUGCCUAGAUGAUCUCCAGGUUUAGUAAGAGACCUUGUCUCAGAAACUGCAUGUGUAGGAAGGUGCCCAGUAUACGUUUCUGGCCUUUUAUGACCUUAGACACGUGUGAGUACUCAUAUGAACACAUACAAAUACACCAACAAACAAAAUAAAACGCAAAGAAACUUAUAAACUUUGAACUGAAAUGUUUUUGCUGUGGCAAAAAUGAUUUUGUUGUUGUUUUGGUUUUUUUGUUUGUUUGUUUUUGGUGUGGUGCUGGGAAUUGAGCCUAAGUGUUUUAUGUAUACUAGGCAAGUAUGCAAUUAUAUUCUGAACACAAUGACAAGAAUUUAAAUACCUUUUUUCUCUUGACUUUCUAUUAAUACUAUUGAGUUGAUCAAAAUAGCAUAUGUUGGAGUUAACCUAAAAUCAUGUUUCAUGUAUUCCUCUGUGAACGUUGGUGAUAUUAAAUACAUUGUCAGUAAUCGUAGCCAUGCUUUUUGUUUUCCCAAGACAGUUUGUAUAAAUAGUGCCCGGAUAGAGGAGGAGAGGUAUAUUACUGUCCCUCAGAGUGCACACGCAUAGGUACCUCAGAACCACACACAAAUUUGUCCUUAUUAUAAGCACAGAGUUUUCUUUUUUGCUUUUUGAUUGUUUGGUUAAUUGUUGUUUUUUGUUUUUGAUGCUGGGAAUUGAAUAUAGGGUGUUAUUCAUGGCUAUACUCCCAGCCUUCAGAAUUAUUUUUUAAUGAUUGUUUGAGAAAACCUUGAUUAGCUAUUCUUUUAUUUUGGUUAAAAACUCAAACACUUAGAAUCAUCUAAUUUGCAGAAAAUGAUAGGCGUUGGAGUCAGUCAGCCUUACUAUCCUUUGUCUUUGCCCCUACGGGUUCCUCUUGAGCACUUGCUGUAUAAUGAGAUCCUAGACGGCAAGAAUUGGGAGGCAGGGUUGGGGAGUCGGGGAUGACUAGAAAUACAAUUGUAAAAGACUAUGAGACCAGCUUCGUCUUUGCAGAUACACAUUGUUUAAGUACAUGUGUAAGUUAAUGAACUGUUUGCUUUUCUGAAAUUCCAUACUUUGAUUUAAGAAGUCAGUCGUUCUUGUUUGAAGACCACUAUUUAAAACCAUUUGUUUGCAAAUGUUUUAAAUUGUGGUUUAUUAAGAUAUAAACUUAUAUCAAAUUCUUCCUUUUUUUUUCUUUUUUUUUUUUAAUUUAGAUAUCUAACAGUGAUACGCCUUCACCACCACCUGGUUUAUCAAAAUCCAACCCUGUCAUCCCCAUCAGUUCAUCCAAUCACAGUGCGAGGUCUCCUUUUGAAGGGGCAGUAACAGAGUCACAGUCAUUAUUCUCAGACAAUUUUCGCCACCCCAACCCUAUACCAAGUGGGCUUCCUCCUUUUCCCAGCUCUCCACAGACACCCAGUGAUUGGCCUACAGCUCCAGAACCACAGAGCCUCUUCACAUCAGGUAUGCAACAGCAAUGCCUAGUGUUAGUGUCAGACUCUUAGAAGCUGACAGACUUAUGGGCUACGCUUUAGUUGAUAGACUUCUAUCUUCUUUUCUCUCAGCUCCCUUUAAAAAAAAAACACGGAAAUUAUUUAAACUACAUGGAAUUAGAUAGUAUGCAAGUCGUUGUGUUGCCUAGAAAUUACUGUGUUAGAAAACAGAUUUCUCUAGAAAUCAUUUGUCAUUGUUUCUCAAAUAAAAUCUCACUGUUCUGGCUGGGCUUGGUGGCACAUGCCUGUAAUCUCAGGAGAGGCAGACAAAUCUAGCUUCAUCUGCAAAGGGAGUGCCAGGACAGCCAGGGUCUACAGAGAAACCCUAUCUCAAAGAAAAAUCC
rnacentral:lncRNA from 1 species